rnacentral:rRNA from 1 species
UGAGGGAUAUUGCACAAUGGGGGAAACCCUGAUGCAGCGACGCCGCGUGGGUGAUGAAGGCUUUCGGGUCGUAAAACCCUUUUCUAGGUGACGAGGAAGGACGGUAGCCUAGGAAUAAGUCUCGGCUAACUACGUGCCAGCAGCCGCGGUAAAACGUAGGAGGCAAGCGUUAUCCGGAGUUACUGGGCGUAAAGCGCGCGCAGGUGGUUGAGUAAGUGGGGCGUGAAAUAUCUCGGCUAAACCGGGAGGGACGAACCAGACUAUUCGACUGGAGUACAGUAGAGGAACGCGGAAUUCGGGGUGUAGCGGUGAAAUGUGCAGAGAUCCCGAGGAACACCGAGAGGUGAAGACGGCGUUCUGGGGCUGUAAACUGACACUGAGGCGCGAAAGCGUGGGGAGCGA